GGCUUAAGAAUGGGCAACGGAAUCCCAAAAGCAGCUGUUUUGCUCUGUUUCCCAGCUGCACUUGGAUUCCGUUCCUUGCUCUUUUGCCC
rfam:Ophiophagus hannah scaffold1839.1, whole genome shotgun sequence.